GGGUUGUGAGGUUAAGCGACUAAGCGUACACGGUGGAUGCCCUGGCAGUCAGAGGCGAUGAAGGACGUGCUAAUCUGCGAUAAGCGUCGGUGAGGUGAUAUGAACCGUUAUAACCGGCGAUUUCCGAAUGGGGAAACCCAGUGUGUUUCGACACACUAUCAUUAACUGAAUCCAUAGGUUAAUGAGGCGAACCGGGGGAACUGAAACAUCUAAGUACCCCGAGGAAAAGAAAUCAACCGAGAUUCCCCCAGUAGCGGCGAGCGAACGGGGAGGAGCCCAGAGCCUGAAUCAGUGUGUGUGUUAGUGGAAGCGUCUGGAAAGGCGCGCGAUACAGGGUGACAGCCCCGUACACAAAAAUGCACAUGCUGUGAGCUCGAUGAGUAGGGCGGGACACGUGGUAUCCUGUCUGAAUAUGGGGGGACCAUCCUCCAAGGCUAAAUACUCCUGACUGACCGAUAGUGAACCAGUACCGUGAGGGAAAGGCGAAAAGAACCCCGGCGAGGGGAGUGAAAAAGAACCUGAAACCGUGUACGUACAAGCAGUGGGAGCCUCUUAAUGGGGUGACUGCGUACCUUUUGUAUAAUGGGUCAGCGACUUAUAUUCUGUAGCAAGGUUAACCGAAUAGGGGAGCCGAAGGGAAACCGAGUCUUAACUGGGCGUUAAGUUGCAGGGUAUAGACCCGAAACCCGGUGAUCUAGCCAUGGGCAGGUUGAAGGUUGGGUAACACUAACUGGAGGACCGAACCGACUAAUGUUGAAAAAUUAGCGGAUGACUUGUGGCUGGGGGUGAAAGGCCAAUCAAACCGGGAGAUAGCUGGUUCUCCCCGAAAGCUAUUUAGGUAGCGCCUCGUGAAUUCAUCUCCGGGGGUAGAGCACUGUUUCGGCAAGGGGGUCAUCCCGACUUACCAACCCGAUGCAAACUGCGAAUACCGGAGAAUGUUAUCACGGGAGACACACGGCGGGUGCUAACGUCCGUCGUGAAGAGGGAAACAACCCAGACCGCCAGCUAAGGUCCCAAAGUCAUGGUUAAGUGGGAAACGAUGUGGGAAGGCCCAGACAGCCAGGAUGUUGGCUUAGAAGCAGCCAUCAUUUAAAGAAAGCGUAAUAGCUCACUGGUCGAGUCGGCCUGCGCGGAAGAUGUAACGGGGCUAAACCAUGCACCGAAGCUGCGGCAGCGACACUAUGUGUUGUUGGGUAGGGGAGCGUUCUGUAAGCCUGUGAAGGUGGCCUGUGAGGGUUGCUGGAGGUAUCAGAAGUGCGAAUGCUGACAUAAGUAACGAUAAAGCGGGUGAAAAGCCCGCUCGCCGGAAGACCAAGGGUUCCUGUCCAACGUUAAUCGGGGCAGGGUGAGUCGACCCCUAAGGCGAGGCCGAAAGGCGUAGUCGAUGGGAAACAGGUUAAUAUUCCUGUACUUGGUGUUACUGCGAAGGGGGGACGGAGAAGGCUAUGUUGGCCGGGCGACGGUUGUCCCGGUUUAAGCGUGUAGGCUGGUUUUCCAGGCAAAUCCGGAAAACCAAGGCUGAGGCGUGAUGACGAGGCACUACGGUGCUGAAGUGACAAAUGCCCUGCUUCCAGGAAAAGCCUCUAAGCAUCAGGUAACAUCAAAUCGUACCCCAAACCGACACAGGUGGUCAGGUAGAGAAUACCAAGGCGCUUGAGAGAACUCGGGUGAAGGAACUAGGCAAAAUGGUGCCGUAACUUCGGGAGAAGGCACGCUGAUAUGUAGGUGAAGCGACUUGCUCGUGGAGCUGAAAUCAGUCGAAGAUACCAGCUGGCUGCAACUGUUUAUUAAAAACACAGCACUGUGCAAACACGAAAGUGGACGUAUACGGUGUGACGCCUGCCCGGUGCCGGAAGGUUAAUUGAUGGGGUUAGCGGUAACGCGAAGCUCUUGAUCGAAGCCCCGGUAAACGGCGGCCGUAACUAUAACGGUCCUAAGGUAGCGAAAUUCCUUGUCGGGUAAGUUCCGACCUGCACGAAUGGCGUAAUGAUGGCCAGGCUGUCUCCACCCGAGACUCAGUGAAAUUGAACUCGCUGUGAAGAUGCAGUGUACCCGCGGCAAGACGGAAAGACCCCGUGAACCUUUACUAUAGCUUGACACUGAACAUUGAGCCUUGAUGUGUAGGAUAGGUGGGAGGCUUUGAAGUGUGGACGCCAGUCUGCAUGGAGCCGACCUUGAAAUACCACCCUUUAAUGUUUGAUGUUCUAACGUUGGCCCCUAAUCGGGGUUGCGGACAGUGUCUGGUGGGUAGUUUGACUGGGGCGGUCUCCUCCUAAAGAGUAACGGAGGAGCACGAAGGUUGGCUAAUCCUGGUCGGACAUCAGGAGGUUAGUGCAAUGGCAUAAGCCAGCUUGACUGCGAGCGUGACGGCGCGAGCAGGUGCGAAAGCAGGUCAUAGUGAUCCGGUGGUUCUGAAUGGAAGGGCCAUCGCUCAACGGAUAAAAGGUACUCCGGGGAUAACAGGCUGAUACCGCCCAAGAGUUCAUAUCGACGGCGGUGUUUGGCACCUCGAUGUCGGCUCAUCACAUCCUGGGGCUGAAGUAGGUCCCAAGGGUAUGGCUGUUCGCCAUUUAAAGUGGUACGCGAGCUGGGUUUAGAACGUCGUGAGACAGUUCGGUCCCUAUCUGCCGUGGGCGCUGGAGAACUGAGGGGGGCUGCUCCUAGUACGAGAGGACCGGAGUGGACGUAUCACUGGUGUUCGGGUUGUCAUGCCAAUGGCACUGCCCGGUAGCUAAAUGCGGAAGAGAUAAGUGCUGAAAGCAUCUAAGCACGAAACUUGCCCCGAGAUGAGUUCUCCCUGAGACUUAGAGUCUCCUGAAGGAACGUUGAAGACGACGACGUUGAUAGGCCGGGUGUGUAAGCGCAGCGAUGCGUUGAGCUAACCGGUACUAAUGAACCGUGAGGCUUAACCUUACAACGCCGAAG
rnacentral:rRNA from 2 species